ACAAGCUGCAGACGAAAGUGAAGCAAAACUCAAGACAGAGACCAACGGAGCGGCUGUUUAGAAUUAGUGCUUCCAUAUGCUGAAGUACUAAACAGUGAAGUUCUCUCUCCUGCACCUCAAGACCAUCACCAGCAGCUUGACUGUCCAACACAACCAACUUCAAGGAAAGCCAGACUUUGACACUCAACCCUCAGGGUCGUGUUCCUCUGCACUGUAUUAUCAGAUGACACAUGAGAUUCAGACCAGAGAGCACUUCACAACAACAGAGGCAACACUCACCAUCGAGACAGAUGAACUUUGACCACAAAGACUCAAUUUUCUUUCUCCAAAAUAACUCUCAAGAGAUCUGAUACCAACUGUUUAUUAUUAUAAUUGUUAAUACUGGUAAC